rnacentral:rRNA from 1 species
UACGGGGGUAGCAAGCGUUGUUCGGAUUUACUGGGCGUAAAGGGCGCGUAGGCGGUCGUGACAAGUCACUUGUGAAAUCUCCGGGCUUAACUCGGAAAGGUCAAGUGAUACUGUCGGACUAGAGUACAGAAGGGGCAACUGGAAUUCUCGGUGUAGCGGUGAAAUGCGUAGAUAUCGAGAGGAACACCUGCGGCGAAGGCGGGUUGCUGGGCUGAUACUGACGCUGAGGCGCGAAAGCUAGGGGAGCGAACGGG